rnacentral:piRNA from 1 species
UGUGAGGUCCAGGGCUCGAUCCUCAGCAU